UACGUAGGGUGCAAGCGUUGUCCGGAAUUAUUGGGCGUAAAGCGCUCGUAGGCGGUUUGUUGCGUCGGCUGUGAAAUCCCGAGGCUCAACCUCGGGUCUGCAGUCGAUACGAGCAAACUAGAGUGUUGCAGGGGAGACUGGAAUUCCUGGUGUAGCGGUGAAAUGCGCAGAUAUCAGGAGGAACACCAGUGGCGAAGGCAGGUCUCUGGGCAACAACUGACGCUGAGGAGCGAAAGCGUGGGGAGCGAACAGG
rnacentral:rRNA from 1 species